rnacentral:lncRNA from 1 species
AUGCCACCACCAGUAAUAAAAUCUGACAGCUUCCUCUGGAUCACCACUUUCACCAACAAAACACCGUGCUGUACGUGUGCUGAGGACAGGGCCCAGAGCUGGUGUGACACUGCUGGCUUGUGGGAAUUCCAGUCUGAGAGGUGUGGACAGCAGGGCAGAGAGGGCCAUUUACUACUAAUAAAAGGAACAAUCAAUGCAAGGAUAAAACAAGACAGCACUUUUUGUUUCGUUCUGUUUUGUUUUGAGACAGAGUUUUGCUCCUGUUGCCCAGGCUGGAGUGCAAUGGCACCAUCUCUGCUCAACGCAACCUCUGCCCCCCAGUUCAAGAGAUUCUCCUGCUUCAGCCUCCCGAGUAGCUGGGAUCACAGGCAUGCGCCACCAAGCCUGGCUUAUUAUUAUUAUUAUUGUAUUUUUAGUAGAGACAGGGUGUCACCAUGUUGAUCUGGCUGGUCUUGAACUCCUGACCUCAGGUGAUCCACCCACUUCGGCCUCCCAAAGUGCUGGGAUUACAGGCGUGAGCCACCAUGCCCGGCCAGCAAAGCAGGACUUUUAACACAGAUUCAAAACAUUAAAACAUAUACAGCAGAGGAGAGUGACCAGGGAGAAGGUUGGACAUCUAUGCACAGGAGCAAGGUCACAGGAGCUGCGGCUGGGGUAAGGUGUGGGAUCUGUGUUGAUCCACCAUCUUUCAGUGAGGUCCUCUUAGCCAAACAGAAGGCCACCAGUAGGGCUAAGUGGGCAUCCUGGGGCCCAGCUCUAACAUAUGCAAAAAUCCUACACCGUGUUGCACUCCCGCCUUGUUCCUCUCACCCUCUAUCCGGUCUUACCUAGUUCUCCCUCACUCACCUGGCUUCAUCUCUACUUCACCUUGACACUGAAGUCUGACGACAAAUUCAGUUUAACUAGCUGGAUCCUCCAUAGUUCUCUUGAGCACAGCUCAACAUAUGACUUUUUUUUUUUUUUUUUUUUUUUUUUUUUUUGAGACAAGGUCUCGUCUUGUUGCCCAGGCUGGAGUGCAGUGGUGAGAACAUGGCUUACUGCAGCCUCUACCUCCUGGGCUCAAGCAGUCCUUCUGCCUCAGCCUUCCAAGUAGCUGGGACUACAGAUGCAUGCCAUCACAUCUGACUAAUUUGUUUAAUUUAUAUUUUUUUUGUAGAGAUGGGAUUUCGUCAUGUUGCUCUGGCUGGUCUGGAACUUUUUGGUUCAAGGAAUUUUCUUGCCUCGGUCUCCCCAAGUGCUGGGAUUACAGACACGAGCCACCACACCCGGCCUAAGCAUGUGAGUUUUGGAAGCUGACCUUGGCCAUCUGCCAGGUCUCAAUUUACAUUCAUGACUAUUAAUCUUAAAAGGGCUGAGAAGGAAAAGGUCAGAUUGGAAAGUAAAAAUCUGCCCUCCCAUUCAUCAGGCUAGGAAGUCAGACAGGGAUGAAAUGUUAAAAAGAAAGAAACGAUGUUUCUUCAAGCGACUCCUUGCAACUGGAAACGUGUCAUAAGAAUAGUCUUCUUUGAGUGACUUUACUUAUUCUUCCUGGGGAACAUUGUUUCCUAAAAAUCACAUCAGAAACGUUGCCGUUUGCCACUGGAUCCCUGAGAAUGAGACAUCUCAGUUGUCUGGAAGAUCCAGAUCACUUUGGCACUGGGAAGCAGUCUCAACUUCCAACUCAGAUACGGGGCUUCUGAAUAUGACAUUCCACAUUUGUUUCAAUUCUGUAGUUUCCAGGGAGAAAAGACUCUGGGUCUACUCUAAAGUCGAUUCCUAAUGUUUAUCCUUUUACGUAUGGUCCCACUGUGCUUUGACCUUAUCUUGGUACCAUUCGUUUAAAUUUAACCUAACCUCGGGGAAGGUGUGGCGGCUCUGCCUGUAGUCCUACCACUUCGGGAGGCCGAGGCGGUGGAUCACUUGAGCCCAGCAGUUUGAGACCAAUCUGGCCAACAUGUCAAAAUCCCGUCUUUACUAAAAAUAUCAAAAAUUAGCCAAGUGUGAUGGUGUAUGC